GUCGAGCGGGCGAGGUUGCUUCGGUAACUGAGCUAGCGGCGGACGGGUGAGUAAAGCUUAGGAAUCUGCCUAUUAGUGGGGGACAACAUUCCGAAAGGGAUGCUAAUACCGCAUACGUCCUACGGGAGAAAGCAGGGGAUCACUUGUGACCUUGCGCUAAUAGAUGAGCCUAAGUCGGAUUAGCUAGUUGGUGGGGUAAAGGCCUACCAAGGCGACGAUCUGUAGCGGGUCUGAGAGGAUGAUCCGCCACACUGGGACUGAGACACGGCCCAGACUCCUACGGGAGGCAGCAGUGGGGAAUAUUGGACAAUGGGGGGAACCCUGAUCCAGCCAUGCCGCGUGUGUGAAGAAGGCCUUUUGGUUGUAAAGCACUUUAAGCGAGGAGGAGGCUCACUUGGUUAAUACCUGAGAUAAGUGGACGUUACUCGCAGAAUAAGCACCGGCUAACUCUGUGCCAGCAGCCGCGGUAAUACAGAGGGUGCGAGCGUUAAUCGGAUUUACUGGGCGUAAAGCGCGCGUAGGUGGUUAAUUAAGUCAAAUGUGAAAUCCCCGAGCUUAACUUGGGAAUUGCAUUCGAUACUGGUUGGCUAGAGUAUGGGAGAGGAUGGUAGAAUUCCAGGUGUAGCGGUGAAAUGCGUAGAGAUCUGGAGGAAUACCGAUGGCGAAGGCAGCCAUCUGGCCUAAUACUGACACUGAGGUGCGAAAGCAUGGGGAGCAAACAGGAUUAGAUACCCUGGUAGUCCAUGCCGUAAACGAUGUCUACUAGCCGUUGGGGGAUUUGAUCCUUUAGUGGCGCAGCUAACGCGAUAAGUAGACCGCCUGGGGAGUACGGUCGCAAGACUAAAACUCAAAUGAAUUGACGGGGGCCCGCACAAGCGGUGGAGCAUGUGGUUUAAUUCGAUGCAACGCGAAGAACCUUACCUGGCCUUGA
rnacentral:rRNA from 1 species